AACGAACGCUGGCGGCAGGCUUAACACAUGCAAGUCGAACGGUCUCUUCGGAGGCAGUGGCAGACGGGUGAGUAACGCGUGGGAAUCUACCCAGAUCUACGGAACAACAGUUGGAAAUGACUGCUAAUACCGUAUACGCCCUACGGGGGAAAGAUUUAUCGGAUUUUGGAUGAGCCCGCGUAAGAUUAGCUAGUUGGUGAGGUAAUGGCUCACCAAGGCGACGAUCUUUAGCUGGUCUGAGAGGAUGAUCAGCCACACUGGGACUGAGACACGGCCCAGACUCCUACGGGAGGCAGCAGUGGGGAAUAUUGGACAAUGGGCGCAAGCCUGAUCCAGCCAUGCCGCGUGAGUGAUGAAGGCCUUAGGGUUGUAAAGCUCUUUCAGUGGGGAAGAUAAUGACGGUACCCACAGAAGAAGCCCCGGCUAACUUCGUGCCAGCCGCCGCCGUAACAC
rnacentral:rRNA from 1 species